GGUGCAUUGUGGGGUGGCGGCGGCUUUGGGCUGGGCCGCGUAGCGUUUGGAGGGUCGGGGCCAUGGCUUCCUGGGCCGCGCUUUCGCCCAGCAUCGUGGAAUAUUUCGAGGGCGAGGAUUUCUACCGCUGCGGCUAUUGCAAGAACGAGUCGGGCAGUCGCUCCAAUGGCAUGUGGGCACAUUCCAUGACUGUACAGGAUUAUCAGGAUCUCAUAGACCGAGGAUGGCGAAGAAGUGGGAAAUAUGUGUACAAACCUGUCAUGAAUCAAACAUGUUGUCCUCAGUACACAAUAAGGUGCCGACCUUUACAGUUUCAGCCAUCAAAAUCUCACAAGAAGGUUUUGAAAAAAAUGUUGAAAUUUCUGGCUAAAGGGGAAAUUUCAAAAGGAAAUUGUGAGGAUGAGCCCAUGGAGCCCACCAUGCCCACCAUGGAGGAUGCCGUUGCCAGUGACUUUGCAUUAAUAAAUAAAUUGGAUAUACAGUGUGACCUUAAAACGCUCAGUGAUGACCUCAAAGAGAGCUUAAAGAGUGAAGAGAAGAAGAAAGGAAAGAGCUCAGAGAGGGAAGAAUCUAAUGAGUUAAUCCAGUCACAAGAUAUGGAAGAGAAGUUGGACUCUGGUGAACCAUCACAUUCAGUAAAAGUGCAUACAGCUCCUCAGCCAGGCAAAGGGGCAGAUUUGAGUAAGCCUCCAUGUCGAAAAGCAAAGGAAAUCCGGAAAGAAAGGAAAAGGUUAAAACUCAUGCAGCAGAACCCAGGUGGAGAACUGGAGGGUUUCCAAGUUCGGUGUCAGCCACCGUCUUUGUUCCCACCAAAGGCUAAAUCCAACCAGCCCAAGUCACUUGAAGAUUUAAUUUUUGAAUCUUUACCAGAGAAUGCAUCACACAAGUUUGAGGUGAGGGUGGUGAGAUCAUCUCCACCAAGUUCUCAGUUCAAAGCCACAUUUCAGGAGUCUUACCAGGUCUAUAAACGCUACCAGAUGGUUGUUCACAAGGACCCACCUGAUAAACCAACUGUGAGCCAGGUGAGGCUAGUACCUGUCUCCUUUGAGGACCCCGAGUUCAAGUCGUCCUUCAGCCAGUCAUUUUCUUUAUAUGUCAAGUAUCAAAUGGCCAUACACCAGGACCCGCCUGAUGAAUGUGGGAAGACCGAGUUUACAAGAUUCCUUUGCAGCUCACCUUUGGAGGCAGAGAAUCCCCCUUAUGGACCAGAUUGUGGUUAUGGUUCCUUUCACCAGCAGUAUUGGCUUGAUGGAAAGAUCAUUGCUGUGGGGGUGAUUGACGUCCUUCCAUACUGUGUCUCGUCUGUAUAUUUGUACUACGAUCCUGAUUAUUCGUUUCUGUCUUUGGGUGUCUACUCUGCACUCCGAGAAGUUGCUUUUACUAGGCAGCUUCAUGAGAAAACACCUCAACUCAGCUAUUACUAUAUGGGUUUCUACAUUCAUUCAUGUCCCAAGAUGAAAUACAAGGGUCAGUAUAGACCGUCUGAUUUGCUGUGUCCUGAGACAUACGUUUGGGUACCCAUUGAGCAGUGCCUGCCUUCACUUGAGAACUCCAAGUACUGCCGUUUCAACCAGGACCCAGAAGCAGCAACUGGCCUUUCCUGCUUGACCUGGCAGUGCCUGGCGUAGGAGCUUUGAUCUCCCUCCAGCGAGGCGCAGCCAGGGCUUAUCAGAAUAACCCGAGGUCGUUAGGAGGAUUACAAGAGCGAAGAUGAGAAAACUGAGGCCCAGGCCACUCUAACGGUGAUGGCACAGACUGCAAGGACAUUUCCUAAGAGGGCAGGUAAGACACCAAACAACCUGCUUUUUGUGAGGUUCGGCACCCCAUUUCCUCCUGUUGAUUAUGUUCAUAUAAGGUCCAGGGCAGUCCACUGAAGGAUGGGGCAGGAACAGGCCCGCUGCCUGGCUCUGUCUUUGACUUCCCCUCAUCUCCCUGGCUUCUAGGGAAAUUGAGGGAGAGAGAGAGGGACCAGUGUCUCCACCUACCCUAGGAGGCUUUUGUCAGGAAAAGAUGGCAGAGGGCAGAUGAGAGUUUUCAGAACAACCAUGGCGCUGGUACCAUCAACUUGAGUGUCAAAUCAUUUUUCAGAGCAGCCCUGAAAUUCCUGGUAAUACAGUAUUUGAGAGCCACGUCAAGAGGUGACUACAAUGCCAUUGUUUUAGGUUUGAAUCGGGGCUGUGGCUUGUCCCCGUGCUGGUUUCCUGGUUUGGAUGUUGUACUUUAGUGAUGCAAGAUGUUAUCGUGGGGGAAGUGAGGUGAAGGAUAGUUGGGCCCUCUCUGCGCUGUUUUUGCAACUUCCUGUGUGUCUAUAAUUAUUCCAAGAUACAAAGGUUUUUUAAAUGCCAUUGUUUAAGAAGCCAGGGAACUGUAGCUACUUCUCCAGCCGCGCUGUGUGUUUCCCUGUGCUAUGAGCUCAUAACCAGCAGACCUCUGUGAUGGACUUGUUGUCAGUCUCAGGGCAGAGCUCACCUCUUUCAGAGGCUGGCAUCAGUCCCCCUUUUCCCUAGACGGGGGGUUCUCCUCUCUGCACUGGAGCCGGGACGUUGUAAAACGGCUUCCUCGGGCACCGCCAGGAGGCUGCAGCACCUUCCCCUAAAUCUCAGGCACGUUCAGCCCCGAGACUCCCCUCCCCUGCCCCACGCAGAGCCUGCUGCCCCUCCCAUCCCCAGGUUCUUGCGAAUCUGCCCUACAGUCCCCUGUGGGGCACCUGACAUAUGCUGUUUCAUUCAUUUCUCUCAACCCCAAGGAAGGAGUUUGCGAAGUGUGGGUGUCUGUGGGAGUCCCAGGAGGUGGGACCAUGGGGACUGGUGUGAAAUAGAUCUUCUACAGACCAGCACAGAACAUUCUCUUCCCGGGGCCACUGCAGUCGGACCAUCAUGCACAGGGUGGUGUUGCAGUAAGUGUUCUGGGGCCAGAGUCGCGGGCCUCAUGGUAAAUAUGGAAACAAAAUUCUCAGGCAGCAGUAAAACCGCCUGCCGUCCUUCUCCGUGCUCCAAGCGCAAGGGGCUGUCAUCUUCUGUGGGUUCUGAGAAUCCUGUGAAAUAUUCCUAGUUCUGGGGCCAGGCUGCAGGAGGUGUACUUACAGACCUCACCUUACAGACUUAACUACCCAAGACUCUGGAUCCUAAUUUAUUUCUCUCCCCAAAGCCUGGCAUUUGGAGGUGGACCUCUUCAGGGGCAGCAAAACACAAGGGCACAUUAUGACACCAAUAGUGAAAUCCCUAAACCUGCAGCACAGAGGUUCCACGUGGAUUCGAUCUGGCUAGAAAGCCUGGGAAUUAGAGACGAUUUGUCGCAGGCCUUUCUGGAUUAGGCCCCCAGGGGUCGAGAAGAUGAGCCUAGGAAUUCCGAAGCGGGGCUGUGGGUGUUGGGGGGGUGGGGGGUUGGGCGGGCAGGGUUCGGGAGGCGUGUCACCUUCCGGUGUCCCUUCUCUCCCUCGCACUUCAGAGUUUAGGGUCUGCUAUUGCUUCGGAAAACCUGACACCCCAAAUUCCCGAGGCUUCGUCCCCUGUUGUCCUGAGGGGCCAGGAUGACUUUCUCCCCAAAGGAACACUGGGGUGCCUCCCAGCAGCCCCACCUUCUCCCCUGGAGCCUGUUUCCCUGUCUUUGUCUUCUCUCUGUCCUUCGAUCAGCUGAUAACAGGAUCCUCCCUCCAGCCCAGCCUGUAGUCUGUGUGACUCCUUCCCCACAGAUGGCCGGGCAGCUUUCACAGGCUGUGGUUCUGAAUUUUGGCCUCCAGUUUGAGCUUUGUUCUCACGUAGCGUGGCUGCUUUAGGGACUAAGAUGGGUGCUGUAAUUUUCCCCCUGAGAGGCUCCUGUCUUAGACCCUAAGCUCCCUGAGCACAGGGAGGGCGGAACCUCCCAAUAGGAGCUAAGACACACCCUCUCUGGGUCUUGACGGAGGGAGGUGACCCCAGCGCUUCAUCAGGGAGCAGCAGCACGACCCUGGUCUGGAGCUUGUCCUGGGUGCUCCCGAGGCCUUGCCUUUUUCUGAGGAUCUAUCACGUGCCAGGCAGAAUGCUAGACCUGUUAAGUGCCUUCUUUCCUUUGACCCACUUGAUAUACUACCAGGCCAGAACUAUUGCUCCUGUUUUACAUGUAAGGAAAUCAAGGCACAGAGAGGUGAAGUACGUAGUCUGGGGUCACACAGCAACUGUCAGUAUUUACCCAGGCUGGAACUUUCAUGCUGAACAGCCUCCCACAUGGGUAGGCGCAUGCAUCUCAGGCUGGUGAGCAUGUGAGUAGCCUUGAUGCUGGAAUAUGGGCAUUUGAAGAGCCCAGCCGGCAAGAACAUCCUGACUUCUCCAUGGUUAAGGUCAUCCUCGCCAGUGAUGUUCUUCAAGGGACAGUUUCAUCCUGCUCAGUGACUGCAAAGCCUAUCACGUGAAUGAUGGUGAGAAGCCCCUUUGCUAGGGUCUCAGAUCUGCCUCCACUCCCUUAGACCUGUUUUUGCGGCAGCAGACUGUUCUAUUAAAGUCAAAGCAAUACCCAUAAAGGGAGGGUUGUUUCCCCUUCUGCCCCUCUGGCGCCCUGGUGUCCUUCCAAAGCGGCGCCUGAGUUCCUAGUUGCUCUCAACAGCCAGCUUGGGAAGGGAAGCUCCCCGGCCCCUCCCUGGAGGAGCCUGAUUCACAGCAGCUGGGGGGUGGGGGUGCGGAUGGGGGGAGGAGGGAGCCCUCCGCACCUGCCUCUGCCUUUGGCCGCAUGCAUCCUGGGAAGAUUUCCGACCCCACCCAAGUUGCUUGAUGACUCAAGGCUACACUCAGCCCAGUUAGGGGCACGGACCAGGGGCUGUUUCCGCUGUGGGCUCCCGGCACCAUGGGACAGCCUAGGAGCCGGAGGACAGGUGGCCUCAACUGUGUGCCUCUAGCUCAAAUCUGUCUGUUUCCGGCGUCAAUCCUCUCCUUUUCCAAUGUGUGUCCUACCUCCCCAGCUCACCUCAGGCUGGGGUCCGCCUCAGGGAGAUCGCCAGGAGCUUUCAUCUCGCUCCCUCCUGAUGCACCCACCUGGCUCUGGCCCACCCCUGAGCUGGGAUGGGGAAACGGCGUCAGGAGUCUGUCCCCCACUGAUGCAGGCAGUGCCCCAUCCCUGCCCUCCCCCGCCGCUGUGUUAUAUGUCUAUCUUAACUUCCAAUAAUUCCUGCCAGAAAUUACUGCUGAGGGCUCAGCUCCAAGUAAGCUGGCAGGAGUGGGCCGUCGGUCUGCACGGAGGCCAGUAGAGUCAUCUUCUGCACUCAAAGUCGUCAAAAGUGCAUGUGUGUGUGUGUGUGUGUGUGUGUGUGUGUGUGUGUGUGUGUGUGUGGAGAGAGAUGGGGGAAGGGUGGAGUGUAAUAAACUCAGUAGAGACCAUUCCCAUGGAAUAUCCCCUCUCUUUCUCCCAAAUGUGCACCUUCAGGACUUUUACAGAGAGCAAGACCAGAUUGUCCCCCACCCAGGAUGCACAGGGAAGAGCUAAGAGACUGAACAAGUUGUCAGGCUCUGUCCUGUGGCAGAGGGUAGGUCUUUGGCGAACAGUGGAAUCAGAAUUCAGGUCGUGCUGGCCCUGGAAGUGCCCAGGUGGGCGUCUCUCUACUGGUGAGUUAGGCUACAGAAGGGCCAGGGCCUGACCCUGACCCUCUAUCUCACUGCCCUGUGCUGGAACCAUAUCGAAGCCUGCACCAGGUCCUCUCCCUGACCCUUUCCUUCCCACCGCCGUGCCUUUGCUCAUGCUGUCCCCUCCCCCAGAUAUCCUUCCUCUCCGAUGUUUCCUCCUUAUCCGUGCCUCAGGUCCCAGCCACGGGCCACCUCCUCCUCCAGGCAGGCUCCCACAUUGCUCAGGGAAUGAGCAGAUCUAAAUGGGAAACGGACAGGGGACCAAUCAGACACCACAGACCUGGAGAGCCGUGGUGCACACGGACAACUGUCUAUUGUUUUGUCUAAGGAAGUAAUGAGCCCAGCAGAAAAAAACUACAGUCCCAGGCUCCCCUGCAGCUGGGGAAGCCGCGUGUCCCACUUCUCACCAGUAAGAUGGAGACAAAAGCUUGGGUGGGGCUUUGGGGGAGACUGUUUAAAUGGGAACAGAAUCACGGUGUGCAACCCUAAUGAUCAUAGUCAUAUACUAGGGAUGGAUGUGGGGAAGGGCUGGACGGAGCCUGGGCCCCUGAGGGCUCUGGGAAGCAGCCCUGCCCAUCCUGGACUCGUUUUGUGGGACAGAUCCACGUUUUACGAAGCCUGAGGGUUUUGCAGUGUAGGAGACCUUCUCUGAGAAAAAGAAUACAAAAUAAAGUGGCCGGAACUUGGGAGAGGUCUGGAGGUUUAACUGUUCCUCUGCGGAAUUCCAGUUUCUGCACUUCUCUAACAUGGAACAGCCCAUGUUAAGCCCAGUGCCCAGAGUCCUGUUAUUCGGAGCCGAACAUGAUUCCGAGCCAACGCCCCACUGCCUUGUCAGGAGUGUCCACCAAGUGCCCACUGUCCUGUCAGCUUAGAUCCAAGUCCUAAACCUGCUGCAGGUGACCAGCACCUGAGAGGCAUUUACAGCCCUGCUGUGGGUUGAAUCGUGUCCCCCACCCCCAAAUUCACGUAUUGAAGUUCUAACCCCAGUACCUCGGAAUAUGACCUGUUGGGAGUCAAAGUCUUUAGAAAGGUAAUCAGUUUAAAGUGAGGUCCUGAGGCUGUCCAAACUCAGUAUAACUGGUGUCCUUAUAAAAGGGGGAGAUGUGGACAGAGAGACUGGCAUAGAGGGAGGAUACUGUGAAGAGCCACAGAGGUCAACUGUAGAGGCUUCAGGGAAAACCAGCCCUGCCAGCACCUUGAUCUUGGACUUCCAGUCUCCAGAAUUGUGAGAAAAUAAAUUUCUGUUGUUUAAGCCACCCAGUUUGUGGCAUCGUGUUACCACAGCCCUGACAGACUAAUACAGGCCUGAGACCCAGGUCCCACCCAGAGUCUGACUAAGCGGUCUGGGGGGAGCUCAGAUCUGUGAAUGUUUUAAAAGCCCCUGAGGUGAUCUAAUUUGCGACUUAGAGGAUUUAAGAAAGAUUCAGAGGGUAGGUUAAGUUCAAAUGGGUCUUGACGAAUGAAUAGGAGUCCAGUGGACAAAGAAGCAGGGAAGGUGUUCAGGCGGGGUAACCAGCCCUAGUGUGAUGGAGUUAAAGUGCAAGACCGGGUCGCGGGCACUAGGCAGGAGACCGGAGGAGAGGGCAAAAGGGUGGUCUGCACGGGGUUAGUAGGGUCUCAUGGAGCACAUGGGGAGAUUUUCAGGGCAGCAGGUAGUAGUGAAGUCUGCAGACCGAGGCCUGCUGUCAUCAGAGCUGCUCUUAGAAAGGCAAUGCUCACUGCUUUCUCUCUGGAGUCCGAGUUAUCAGGUGUGUACUGCGUCCGCUCCAGUGUAGCACUGACCUUCAACAGGUCUGGUCCUGAGCUUGGUGACAGUGCCAUCCACAAGCUGAGCACCUUGGAAGGUGACGCCAGGGAAUAAUCACGAGCUGGAAUCAGCUGCCUUUCCUUGAAUGAACCUAGUGGACUUUCUCUUGCUUUCCUAUUGCUGAAUGCCCUUUCCCCCUUGCCCUGAGGGCAAACUCCUACAGCACCCUCACCACCCAGCUCCCAUCACCUCCUCUGGACAGCUGCCUGUCUUCCCUUGGAGGCUGCCGCUAUCACAUCACCCACUCUGGCACUCUCCAUGCUGCAUUACUAUGGUUUGUUUAUACGCCCCUCCUCACUGGUCUGUGGAUCCCUGCAGAAUAAUGACUCUUCUCUCGCAUUCAUUCAAAAAUGUUAAUUGAGCAACUACUGUCUGCCAGACACUGCAUCCUGUAGUGGUGAGCAUAACUGAUGCUCUCAGAUACUGACUGGAUUGAUGGAGCAGGAAAAAAGACAUGUGAGGGAAUUGAAACUAAAGGAACAAUUUUGCAUCAUGUCAGCUUGCAAAUAUGUGUGGAUUUGGGUGGCCAGGGGUCUGUUUGUAUUGCGGGAAUUCAGUUAACCACUUAAAACUCUCCAAGCUAGUUCCACAUUUAUAAAGUGAGAAUGGGAAUCAGCUAUGUAUGCAAAUCUCUUCAAGGAAAAUCCACUAAAUUAACUAUAUUCUAUCGGCAUUUAAAUUCCUUCCCUGGGGCAAGUGGGACAGGAACCUGGCACUUGACUGGUCAUUUAUCUUGUUGUAUCUCGGGCCCUGGGACAGCCUGGCUGGCUCCUUCUACCUCUAGGUUUCUGGCGCUGGUAGAAUGUGGACACGUGGAAUCUCAGGUCACACCUGCCCUUGUAACUGGGCAUCCCAACCUUCCCCACUGAUGCCUUUACUCUUUCCCACAACUUAGUGGCUUAAAGUUCAACUUCUCCCCUGCAGCCCUGAUACGUUGGCUACAGCAGCCAGUGCGUUAAAAGGAUAGAGAAGGAGAAAGAAAAGCCAGAGGCCUGGCUGGCAGAGACCAAGAGAGGCAGGCAGUCUUAGCAUCCUCAGCAAGGAAUCCAUUCUUUAGGGCGAGUCUUAUUAACGUCCCCCAGGACUUAAGUCCUGAGCUGGUCUCUGCUCAGGUCCUGGAGACCCAGGAAUGCAGAUGACAGCUUUGCAGAGGGACCAGUGCGGGAGGGAAAGGCUCAGCCUUCUUCUGAAAGAAAACCAGGUGUUCUCAGAGGAAUCCUGCCAUUCAAGAAAUGAUAAAUGCCUCCUUGGCAUAAAGCCUGUUGCAAAGGGGAGUGGUUGCUUGAGCAAAAAAUUCACAAUUAAUAGAUAUUUCUUUGAACCCAGCCCUUAAGUUACAGCAACAAGCUUUCAUUAAAGAUCAUGUUGACCCUAAUAUUUGGCAUUUGCUUACUCGGGCCAGCCCAGAGCCACCAGGCUGCUGGACACUGAGGCAGCCCAAGCAGCCCACUCUCUAUCUGUAAUGGUCCUCUCCCCAAGGUGCAGAGACAGCCGCGCUUAGAGACGCAUUAGAUGCAAUUCUAAAUAUUUCCACAACUUGAAGCAGAGAGGUGUCUCCAGCUGCUUCAUGCCUUGACUACCUAAAAGUCAUGCACAAAAGACUCUAAUGGGCUAUUUUUGUGGCGGGAUGAGAACUGUUACAUGUCAGUAAGCAAGGACUCACAAAGUUGGGAGACAGAGUUGGGGGAGAAGGUGGGGUGACGGGGCCCAGGCCUGCCGCCUCUGGGGACCAGCAGGGAAUCCUUAGAAAAUGGUCAUUUAGGUGCUCCAGCCCGGCCGAAUGCAGCAAGUGGGGACCACCGUGUGGAGGACAAGGGGGCCAUUGUAAGGCCUGCUCUGCAGACCCACCUGGACCCUUCACUGACCCCUGCAGAUCACUGCGUGGAAGCCCCAGUGUCUUCAAGGGCUGCUUCCUGGAGGGAGAAGGUGGAGAACUGGGGCAUACUGAAGGGCAGCCCUUACCUUCCUCGCUCCUCCUGGCGGCCAGGUUAGGGCAGACUAUUAGCAGGCUCGGAAACUCUGACCAAACGCGUGCUGUGGACCUGUUUAGACCUGGGCCCGGGCAGGGCCGCCCACGAGGGGUGGCCGUCUAGUCGGAGAGCCGGGCCGGCCGAGCCUCGGCAGGUGCAGCGGGGGAGCAGAGGCCGCUUGUGGCCCUUCCAUCCUCUCCUCCUCCCGCCAAACCUGUCACUUAAAUCACGGUUCAAGCCCGCGCCUCGCCCACCUGGAGCCUCUCCUGGGCUCCCCGCUCCUGAAUCCUGGGCCUCUCCAACUUUCAUCCUCACCUCCUCCCAGAGCUCCUGACGGCCCGGCAAUUCUCCGCCCUUCCCGCGCUUCUCCCGUCCUUGGGUCCUCGACCGCCCUGGCAUUUGGCCGCGGCAUCUUCUCUGCCUGAAAACCCGCCCACGCCCUCGGUCCACCUCAACUUCCGAGCCCCCAAGUCAAGGUCAUCUCUCCGUGUCCCACUCUGCCCCGACCUCUGCAGCUGUGCUCUCCACCCCUCCCCUCUCCUCCACGGCCCUGGCGAGUCCUGCACUGACUAAUUAUCCCAGGCAGCUUUCCACACUAGCGCUUCAGAUCCCUCUGUCCCACUUAAUAUUGACCCCCAAAGGGCAGUGGCCAUAUAAAAUAAGCCCCUGGUUCUCAAUCUGACUGCACAUUGGAACCCCCAGGGCGCUUUAAAAGAACACUGAUGCCUGGGGUCCCAGCCCAGAGAUUCUGACAUAAUUGGUUUCCGCGCAGCUGGGGUGGGGGCAGUUGUUUUAAACUUCAUUUUCUUAAAUUUAAGUACAGCUGAGGUACAAUAUUAUAUAAGUUACAGGUGUACAAUGUAGUGAUUCAAAAUUUUUAAAGGUUGUACUCCAUUUAUAGUUAUUAUAAAAUACUGGCUGUAUUCCCCGUGUUGGACAACAUAUCCUUGUAGCUUAUUUAUUUUAUACGUAGUAGUCUGUACCUUUCACUCCCCGACCCUUGUGCUGCCCCUCCCCCCCUUCCCUCUCCCCACCGGUAACCACUAGUUUGUUCCCUGUAUCUGUGAGUCUGCUUCUUUUUUGUUUUAUUCACUGGUUGGUUGUAUAUUUAGAUUCCGCACACAAGUGAUAUCCUACAGGGUUUGUCUUUCUCUGUCUGAAUAACUUCACUCAGCAAAAUGCCAAGAGGGGGGUUUUUAAGAGCUUGACAGGUGAUUCCAAAUGCAGGCACGUUCUGAGAGCAUCUUUUUAUUCUCAGUGGUAUCCUGCACCUCAGGUAUUUAUUGAGUUGAACAGAACCAUUGAAACUUGGGGACAGAGGUGGUGAACAGGCUAUAGACCAGUACAGACCACUGGAACUGUAGGAGCCACAUAUGUAAUUUCCAAUUUUUAGUAACCAUGUAUAAGAAAGUAAAAAGAAACAGUGAAAUUAAUGUUUAUAUCUUUUAUUUAAUUCAUGCAUGCAAAUUGUAUCUUUUUUUUGCGGUACACGGGCCUCUCAUUGUUGUGGCCUGUCCCGCUGCGGAGCACAGGCUCCGGACGCGCAGGCUCAGCGGCCACGGCUCACGGGCCCAGCCGCUCCGCGGCAUGUGGGAUCUUCCCGGACCGGGGCACGAACCCGUGUCCCCUGCAUCGGCAGGUGAACUCUCAACCACUGCGCCACCAGGGAAGCCUCAGCAAAUUGUAUUAUUUUAAUAUAUAAUCAAUACAAAAUUAUUAAUGCGGUAGUGUACUUUUUUAAUAUUAGCUCUUCAGAAUCUGGUGUGUAUUUCACGCUUACGGUUCACCUCCGUUUGGAUGAGCCACAUUUCAGGGGCUCAGGAGCCGCGUGCAGCCAGCGGCUGCUGUAUUGGAUGGGGCAGUUGUAGGCCAGAAACCAAUAGAAUCAUGAUGUCCCUGUGCGGAGCUGGCCUGGAGGGCACAUGCACGCCGCCGUCCUGGAAGAAGGAAAGGUGGCUUCUGUAGCUGCGAGCUGAGAGAUCUGACACGCUUAGCCCCAAACAGCCCCUCCCUCCCUUUCCAGUUAAAUCACAGCACCUUCUUAUCUUGCCUCACUCCCCGCUCCUCCCACCACCCCGCCCCAUCUGGGUCCCAUAUCCAAAACAAAUUUCCUCCCACCCUCAGCCUCCUGUGGGCCAGCUUUCCAACACCCAGCUGUGGACCUGCUGUGUUUCCUGUCCUGGUUGCUCUUUGGAGAGCUGGCUGCCUGUCCCUGAGGGAGGGGAAGUGUGGGAGUGCACCUGGCUCAGAGAUUGGGGAGAGAUCCGGGAGAGUGUGGAGUGCGUUCACUUUCUCUCUCACUCUCCUUUGCUUUCUCUUGCUCUCUCUGCAGGUCGAAUGCUAAGCCACUGGCCACCCCUCCCCGCCCAGGCCCUAUGGCCCUCCCCAACCC